rnacentral:lncRNA from 1 species
CACCAUCAUCAUCAUCAACCUCAGAGAUCCACUGAACAGAUAACCACAACCUCUGAAUCGGCCCGGGGAAUCCUGAAAUAAACGGAUCCCCACUGAUAAAUAACUCGGACAGCACUCCGGCGUCUCGGCAAGAAAUGCCCAUAAAUCCGACUUAUAAAUAUGACUCUGAUCAACGGAACCAUUAGUCACCAUCUGAGUCACCAACAGAACAUGCAUCUGUAAGAAUCAACCCUCCCCUCACAGGUAAAUUCUAAUCAGGUCAUCCUAAGGCGGAUAAUAG